rnacentral:rRNA from 1 species
UGGCGGCAGGCCUAACACAUGCAAGUCGAGCGGUAACAGAAAGUAGCUUGCUACUUUGCUGACGAGCGGCGGACGGGUGAGUAAUGCUUGGGAACAUGCCUUGAGGUGGGGGACAACAGUUGGAAACGACUGCUAAUACCGCAUAAUGUCUACGGACCAAAGGGGGCUUCGGCUCUCGCCUUUAGAUUGGCCCAAGUGGGAUUAGCUAGUUGGUGAGGUAAUGGCUCACCAAGGCGACGAUCCCUAGCUGGUUUGAGAGGAUGAUCAGCCACACUGGGACUGAGACACGGCCCAGACUCCUACGGGAGGCAGCAGUGGGGAAUAUUGCACAAUGGGCGCAAGCCUGAUGCAGCCAUGCCGCGUGUGUGAAGAAGGCCUUACGGGUUGUAAAGCACUUUCAGUCAGGAGGAAAGGUUAGUAGUUAAUACCUGCUAGCUGUGACGUUACUGACAGAAGAA